UGGAGGAGGUGGCUGUUGGGCUGGAUUCCAGGGUUGGCAGGAGCAGGGGGCAGGACCCCUGGGCCCCGGUAGCAGGACCGGUGGGGGGCCUGCAGGCCUGCCCUGGGAGGUAAGGGAGACGUGGAAAGCAGGAGGAGGCACCCGUCCUGACUGACACCCCCCACCCCCGACGCAGGACCAGCCCCAGUCCAGAUGUUCAGCCAAGAUUGUGGAGCCCAACUUUCCUGACAAGACGCUGACAUGUCAGAAGCAGAGGAAGGCCAGGACCCUCAAGCGCAAACUCAAGUCUCAGGCCUUGGGAGACUCUGGGCCUCUCACCUGGUCGCAGCUGGAGCACAU